rnacentral:lncRNA from 1 species
CAUCGUCCAGAUUAAAAUUCCCAUCCAGUUGCUGAUAAAUAUUUCAUUUAUUUGUUCGAGAGAAGGUAUUUUGUUGAUUUGUUACUGACUAGUUGCUUAUAGUCUAGACAUAAAAACUGAUCCUUCUGUGCAUUUUGAGUAUAGGAUAACGUCUCUAUUAUUUCACUGCUGAAGGGAACAAAGUCAAGUUCCGGAUUUAAACUGGAUGGGCUUUUGCAGAAGAAACAAUUAUUAGCAAAACUCCAUU